rnacentral:rRNA from 1 species
UACGAAGGGGACUAGCGUUGUUCGGAAUCACUGGGCGUAAAGCGCACGUAGGCGGAUGUGUCAGUCAGGGGUGAAAUCCCGGGGCUCAACCUCGGAACUGCCUUUGAUACAGCACGUCUCGAGUCCGGAAGAGGUGGGUGGAAUUCCUAGUGUAGAGGUGAAAUUCGUAGAUAUCUGGAGGAACACCGGUGGCGAAGGCGGCAUCCUGGACCAACACUGACGCUGAGGAGCGAAAGCCAGGGGAGCAAACGGG